UCGAUUUCUUUUGCCGUUGCUUA
rnacentral:siRNA from 1 species